GUGCUGUUUUUGUUCCAGUGAUCUCAGCAGUGUCAGUAUCAUACAGGGGACAUAAAAGGACAUAAUAUUAUCAUUGCAAGUUCUUGGACAGUUCUAGGCUGAACUGUGUCAAACUCAAAGUUGUACUCUGAUACGUAAAAUGAGAACAGGUCAUAAUUUAAGGUUGCCUAAUUCCAUACCGCGUGUGUCAGACCUCAUGAUGCGCCUACAUUUAACUCUGGUUUAGGUAUUUGCCAAUAACUUGCUAGCACAUGGUGCACCAGCCCUCUUCCUCCUUGGUCAAAAUAUUCCCAGUAGAAAAAAAUAUUAGAUUUGGCUUUUGCAGAUCAUGCUCAUACAACAGAUGAGGCAUCUGCAUCGUGAGAGACUGCCCUGCUGUGAAUGAAAAAGCGGAAUCCAAACCCAGGUCUUCUCAACGCCAAACAGAAAUCCAGUAACGGUGGAAAGACGCCAUGCCUUCCUCACGAUCCGCUGUGAACUGAACUCCUUUACAUCCAUUUGUGUACACUCACCUCUGCUCUAAAAGGGAAAAAGACAUUUGACAGAUGAGUCCGCACCCUGAUUUUCACAGGAUCUUCUUCAGGUUGCAGCUCUGGGUAAGACGGACUUGAGAAUGAUGCUACGAAUCAUGCCUCUCCUGGGUGGAGACACAAACACCUCUCUGCUCACUGCUGCACGGUGAAAUAUGGUUGUGGGAAUGCACGCAUCCAGUACCACACUCAGAUCUGUGAAAGCUUAGUUCAAGACCAGCACCUAGCAGGGUGCCUGACAGAGAGGAGGCACAUGACAAAUGUUUAUGGAAUGAGCGUUGCAUUUAAGGCGCGAGGAUGGCUGGAUACAGAAAGGAAUCAUUUUAAAACUAUACAUAUCCUGUGCACUUGAAUCUGAAAGGAGAAGUAUUCCUAAUUUUAUCUUAAUUUGUAAUUUAACAGAGUUAACUUCCUCCAAAGUCUGGCCUCCCCUUCUUUUUGUCCCCCGAUAUUCAUUGCUCCUCUUCCACACCAGUGGGAUUUUAGCUGGGGACAUGUCUGCUCGGAAUACAGACUGUGUAUCUCAGCCUCCCUUGCAGCUACGUGUGAUUAAGCUGCCCGGCAGUAUGUGAGCAAGAAUGCUGUAUGUGAGCAUCUGAGGAGCUUCCAGAAAGAUAGCUGCUGUACACCCUACACCCUUUCUUGAUUCCUUCCUGGAAUUCCAGCCCGGCCUCCGUCUUGGAGCACAAAGACAGCCUCAGGAUGGCCAAGUGAAGCUGAAAGAGAAUUAAU
rnacentral:lncRNA from 1 species